AUGGAUCACCACCUAUACGGGGACCCGUCCGCGAACAGCUUCUCUCCGCUGGAGGCGCAGAUCUUCUCCGGCCAGCUGCCACCGUCACCGCCGUGGCCGAAUCUCGACGUUGACCUCGACCUGGACCUCGACGUUCUCGAGGACGACAUCGUCCGCGAGCUCUCCGGGAGGCCGGCAAACGCGGCAUCGUCAGGCUCCGGCUCCGGCGGGCCCGGCUCCCACAAGAAGCUCAGUCACAACGCGUACGAGCGCGACCGCCGGAAGCAGCUCAACGAGCUCUACCUCUCUCUCCGUUCCCUCCUCCCGGACACCGACCACACUAAGAAACUGAGCAUUCCGACGACGGUGUGUCGAGCGCUCAAGUACAUCCCCGAGCUGCAGAAACAGGUGGAGAAUCUGGAGAAGAAGAAAGAAAAACUGGCUAGUGCCAACUGCAAACCAGGGGUACUGAGCGUGAGCGGCAGCAUAGCUCCAACUGUGUCCGCUACUUGCCUCAACGACAAGGAAAUCAUGGUUCAGAUCAGCGUGUCAAGAGAUACGGAUGCUGCUACAGCUCUACCUCUUUCCAGGUGUAUCAAUGUACUGGAGAACGAAGGACUUCAGCUCAUCAGUUCAUCGACUUCCUCCACCUUUGGGAACAAAAUGUUCUAUAACCUCCAUCUUCAGAGAAGUCAAGGAGCACUAAACAUGGAGUGCCCAUCGUUUUGUGACAAAUUGGAACAAGCCAUCAUGGAAGCAGCGGGACUAUAUCUGCAGCACUAG
rnacentral:rRNA from 1 species